rnacentral:rRNA from 1 species
AACGCGAAGAACCUUACCAGCCCUUGACACCGAGCGGUUACCAGAGAUGGUUCUAGUUAAGCUGGAGGUGACAGGUGCUGCAUGGCUGGAGCGUGGUGAGAUGUUGGGUUAAGCCGCAACGAGCGCAACCCGCCCUUAGUUGCCAAUAGUUGGGCACUAAGGGGACUGCCGGUGAUAAGCCGAGAGGAAGGUGGGGAUGACGAAGCAUGGCCCUUACGGGCUGGGCUACACACGUGCUACAAUGGUGGUGACAGUGGGCAGCGAGACCGCGAGGGAGCUAACAAAAGCCAAGUGGAUUGCACUGCAACGAGUGCAUGAAGUUGGAAGCUAGUAAGUGGAAGAAUGCCACGGUGAAUACGUCCGGGUUGUACACACCG